UCUUCGUGUAGUGGAAAGAAAGGGAGGCGUGUUAGUCUUCCCUAGAACCCUAGAAGAAAAAGGUGUGAUUUUUUCUGCAGCCGUUCGUCGAGAAGGAUCAUUUCGUGCACAUGUAUUUCCUCCCACAGGAGUACGCUAUGUUGUUUCCUGUAUUUGCUGGUGUUCUGACCAGUUUCUUGUGCGUGUUCGUUGGGUGCGUCUUCAUUGGGUUCAUGUCCAACAACAAGAAGAAAUCUGCUUGAAGGAAUGCCAAAGAGGUCAGAAGAAGAUGAGGAUGGAACAAGAAGGAAAAGCGUUACUGCUAUUGUUUCCAGGAAUAGAGAAAGAAAGAGCUGCAUCUGUCCAGUGGAAGCUUAAGCUCUCAAUAAUUUGCGCUGCUUGCACCUGCACUCCAAUCUGCUACUGUAUUGCCUUUUAAAAAUCUCAAUUUAACACCUUUAACAAAUUUGAUGGCAGAGCAGCAAGUCUAAUCGACGUUCUUGUCUGUAUUAGAAAGAUUCGAAGAAUUGUGUGUAGGUAAUUAAUUUGGAGACUGCAGGAUGACUGACUUUAAGUCCACAGUUUGGCAAUAUCGGAUUAGAAUAUGGAGUCACUGUCGAUUGAUUUCAUUCAUUAA